UACAGAGCCAAUGAUGAUUCCUCAGGGCCGAUUUACUCUGAAGCAAGCAAUGAAGUUCAUUGCUGAUCACCAUGCAGAUCCAAACACUUGGACAGCAACAGCUAUAGCAAAAGAAUACAACAUUAAUCAAGAUAAACUAGAAACAAUUCUGUUCUAUUACCGAAUGUUUCAAGUACAUAUUCCUGAAGGCAUGGGUAAGAAGAUUCCUGUGAAGUUAAAUACUAUGACAGAAGAAACAAAGAACCCACAAAUGUUACAAUCAGAUGAAGAGAAAAUGCAUCAUGAACAAAAGUGAAAAUAGUAAUGGAAUAUAGAAUUAAUAGACAGUGUGCAAUUUAUGUAGAUUGCUUUCAAUGUAACAUUAGUUUAUAAUGUUUAAAUUAUUCUACAGCUUGAUGAGCUAAUGUUCUUUUGUGCUACAUGGAAGUUAAUUUGGAAUGUGAGACACAUUUCCACUGUUCAGUAGCUCAUUAUUAUUUAUCAUACAGUUCAUAAUACAGAAAUAUAUAUGUAGGAAAAGGACUUGCAAUAUAAAGAGAUAUGGAGAAACUUUGUACGAAAAUGUAUGUUUUCAUAAAUAAUUAGAAUAAUCAGUUUGUUGACAUAUAUGUACAUGAUGAAUGUAUUUGGACUGUGAUAAAGUUACACAAAGUAAUGUAAUUAUAUAUUCACAUUACAUUUAAAAGCAAACUAUGGUUUUCUUUCUGUUUUUUAAAAAUCUGCACAGAUUCCUAUUAAAAAUAUACUAUGAAGUGUU